UUUUAUGGAGAGUUUGAUCCUGGCUCAGGAUGAACGCUGGCGGCGUGCCUAAUACAUGCAAGUCGAGCGAACGGACGAGAAGCUUGCUUCUCUGAUGUUAGCGGCGGACGGGUGAGUAACACGUGGAUAACCUACCUAUAAGACUGGGAUAACUUCGGGAAACCGGAGCUAAUGCCGGAUAAUAUUUUGAACCGCAUGGUUCAAAAGUGAAAGACGGUCUUGCUGUCACUUAUAGAUGGAUCCGCGCUGCAUUAGCUAGUUGGUAAGGUAACGGCUUACCAAGGCAACGAUGCAUAGCCGACCUGAGAGGGUGAUCGGCCACACUGGAACUGAGACACGGUCCAGACUCCUACGGGARGCAGCAGUAGGGAAUCU
rnacentral:rRNA from 1 species